UUCUGAUUGUGUAGUUCAUUUCAAAGAAACUCUAAAUACCUUCCAAAAUGUGAAGUUUCAAAAAUCAAAAUCCAUGACAAACAGUCGGGCACUGUAUGCCAAUGUUUCAGUCAGUGAUGGAUAACAUAUAAGAAGGUGGUCUUAUAAGACUGCAACAAAACUGAAAAAUUCCUGUUGCUCAGCUAUAUAGCCAUUAUAACAUUGUAUAACAUUGUAGCACGUGCAUUAUUCACUUGUUUGUAAUGGUGUGAACAAACUUGCUGUGCUGCUAGUUGUAUAAAAGUAGCCAUACAAUUAUUUGUGGUAUGUAAUACUUGAAAGUGAAAACUAAUGAUCAAUAGUAAAGAAAGAGAGUCCAGAAAUAAACCCAUACAUCUGUUUUUAAUUGAAACUCAACAAAGAUAGGGAGGCCUUUUAAUGGGGAAAAUGGGCUUUUCAUCAGUGGUGCAGAGACAAAUAGCCACACACCAAAGAAAUGCCUUUGGACAUUCACCUCAAAUCAUAUAGAAAAAUUAACUCAUGGACCAAUGGACUAAACAUAACAGAUAAGAUUAUAAAACUCUUAUCUGGGAGCAUAUGUGUAAAUAUUUGUGAUUUUGGCAAUGGAUUCCUAUAUAUAUCAAAAGUAUGAUGCUACAGUUGGAACCCAAAGGAUCCCCCAGAAGGCUCAUUGUGUUGAAAAGCUGGUCACUAGCUGGAUGGGCUUUUAGGAACUGAUUGGAUCAUGAGGGCUCUAAUUUUAUCAAGUAGAUCUAAAUCCAUCCAUGUAUUCAUUAGCUGAAUGGAUUAGGAGAUGAGGCCUAAUUGGAUGAAGCUGGUCACUGUGGGCAUAACUUUGAAAGACAUUUUUUGUCCCCAGCCCUCCCUUUCUGACUCUUUCCCCUCUCUCUAUCCUUGCUGCCAUAGGUAAGCAGCUUUCCUCUGCUAUGCCCUUCUUCUAUAUUUCUGCCUCACCACAUGCCAAAAAGCAAUGCAGCCAGUUGGCCAUGGACUGAAGCCUCUGAAACUUGCUGUUCUCCUGCCCUGCUUCUCAGUCACCACGAACUAAGAAGUUUUGUUCUAUCAUACUCUUCUACCAUGCCAUUUCUGCCUUGAAGCAAAUCAACCAUGAAUUCCACCCUCUGAAACCAUGACACAGAUAAACCUCUCAUCCUUUAAGCGGUGGGUAUAAGAUAUUUGUCUCAGCUAUAAGAAAGCUGACUAAUGCAGAACAUUGGUACCAGAGAAGUGAAAGUCAUUGCUAUAAAUGUACUUGAUCAUAUGGUUCAGAAGCCUUUGGAACUGGUUUGUGGGAAGAGUCUUGAAAAAGCCUGGAGAAAGCCUACAAUAUUACAAGCAGAUCUUGAUGAAUGACUCUUGCUAGAGCUCAAAGAUAAGAAUGUUGGUAAUAACAUGGACAGUAUGAGAUUUCAGUUGGGAACUCUAUUGGGAAUUAGGCUAAAGGUCAUGCAUGUUAUACUCUACCACAAGUUCUCUAAUUUUGUUCAUACUCUAAGACUAAAUUUUAGGCCCAUGAGCCAAGAGAAAAAAUCAAGGCAGCCCAAUAUUCAGGCAGUGGUAUGUGUACUUCUGGUUUUUUAAUCCAGAUUUGUAGUGAGAAUCAGGAGCAAAAAACAGAUCAGAAAGUUUUGAAAAGCAUAAGUUUUGACCAGAAAAUUAGCAUAUGUAAAGUUAGCAUCAAGGAGAGUAUGGUUCCUAAAAAAAUUAAUGCUUUUUAAAAGACACCAAAUACUGUGAACUAGGACAAGAAGAAAGAUGUUUUGAGGGCACCUCAGGAACUGGCAAGACUGCAUCCAUCAUAGACUCUAAGGUACAAAAGUGUAGAUCUUUCAUUUGAAGAAAGAGACCCUGGGACCCUUUUCAAGAAGGUCCAUUUAGGAAAUUGGUUUCCCUGGAUUCAUUUCACUGUGUUCAGCCAUCCAGGCCCUCAGAGGCCACUUUAUUGCUCACAUUGGUGGCAGAUCUUGGCACUAUCCACAUAAUGCUGAUUUUUUUGGUAUACAGAAUGCUAUGGAAACAUUAAGGCUUCCACUCAGAUUUUAAAGAAAGGCCUUGAACACCAGGCAAAAAUGUGUGACAGUGUCAGUGUCCCUGCCAGAAGCUACUGAGAGCACAAUGGGUGUAGCUGUAGGAAUGAAGCCAAAGGUAUAAUGGAGACCCCAGGAAACUAGGGAUUUUAGGAGCAAGGAAAGCUGUGGCAACGAGUACAGCCAGCCCAGGAUAGAGGUCAUGUGAGCUGAAACUGGCAAAACCAUAGGGAUGGUGUUGCCCAAACCCUUUGGCACUCACAUUUCACCACCAUGUUCCCUGGAUUCCAGACGUGUAGCUAUAAGAUCUAACACUUGCCUUGCUGGUUUUCAGUCUUGCUUUGGUCCUAUUCUUCUUUAUUUCCUCCCCUUAUUCAUUUCUCUUUUUGAGAUGAGAGUGUUUACCCUGUACAGUUUUAUAUUGAGAAUAUGUAACUUGCUUUUUGAAUUUUCAGACGUUUGUAGCCAAGGGCUUACUUUGAGUCUCAGGGGAUAUUUUGAACUUAAAUUUAUGAAUAAUGCUGGAAUUGGUGAAACUUUAGGGUGGACAUUGAAGGACCCUAGUUAGUAAGACAGACUCCAUAUUGCUGCUUGACCCACCUGCCUGCCCUUUACAUGAACUCAGAAGGAGGAAGCUUAGAAACCUCCUCCCCUUAGAGUUUCUUAGAAGCAACAAUUAAUCAACUAUUGUUUUACAAAUGUUCUAAGGACAGGGUGUUCAGCUUCUGUACCUUUUGCUUGCUUUGCUAGUUCUAUCCCAUAGGGGGCCCCAGAAACUGCUGGCCUCAAAGAUGCAUAAAAUAUGUUAAUCUCCCCCAGUCAGGGCUUGAGUCUGAUGCUUGGCUCAGGUCCCAGCCAGUAAUAAACUGCUGUGUGGAUUUAAUAUCAGUCUCUGGUUGGUUCUUUCUCACUGGGUCCAACAGACAUUAUUGCAUUUUUGGUUGUAUGUGGGAUACUUACAUCAUGUUAAGUAGAUUCAUGACUUUGUGUUUAUUUGGAGAUUAAGUGUGACUUAAGAAAAUAUGUUUGGGUGUCAGGAAGGGGUGGAAUAUGAUGGUCACCAUGAACUAAGCACCUUUGCUCUGCUAUGCCCUUCCACCACAAUGUUCCUGUCUUGGGGACAGCUGGCCAUAUAUUGAACCCUUUGAAAACAAGAGCCAAUUAAACCUCUCAUCCUUUAUGUUGUAACUGUUGGGUAUUUUGUGCCAGAGAUGGUAAAGCUGAACAAUAUAGGCUAUAUAUUUAACUUUAUAAGAACAUCUAAACAAAUAUUCCAGUUGGUUAGUUGCUCUUUGUGUCUACCAGCAGCUAUUUAAUAAGCCUGAAUUAAGUUAUUUUAAAAAUGCC
rnacentral:lncRNA from 1 species